rnacentral:rRNA from 1 species
AGAGUUUGAUCAUGGCUCAGAAUCAACGCUGGCGGCGUGCUUAACACAUGCAAGUCGAACGCGCAGUCCCCUGUAGCAAUACAGGGGAUGGGCGCGUGGCGAACGGGUGCGUAACACGUGGAUAACCUUCCUUCAGGUGGGGAAUAACCCCGCGAAAGCGGGGCUAAUACCGCAUAACAUGACGAUGGCACAUGCUGUUGUCUUCAAAGCCGCAAGGCGCCAGAAGAGGGAUCCGCGGCCGAUUAGCUAGUUGGCGAGGUAACGGCUCACCAAGGCAAUGAUCGGUAGCCGGUCUGAGAGGAUGAUCGGCCACACUGGAACUGAGACACGGUCCAGACUCCUACGGGAGGCAGCAGUGGGGAAUCUUGCGCAAUGGGCGAAAGCCUGACGCAGCAACGCCGCGUGGGGGAUGAAGCUUCUCGGAGUGUAAACCCCUUUCGACCCGGACGAAUGCCCGCAAGGGUUUGACGGUACGGGUACAAGAAGCCCCGGCUAACUACGUGCCAGCAGCCGCGGUAAAACGUAGGGGGCCAGCGUUGCUCGGAAUUACUGGGCGUAAAGGGUCCGUAGGCGGUGUGGCAAGUCGGAAGUGAAAUCUCUGGGCUUAACUCAGAGGCUGCUUCCGAAACUGCUGUGCUAGAGUGCGAGAGAGGCGAGUGGAAUUGCGGGUGUAGCGGUGAAAUGCG